UAGUCCACGCCGUAAACGAUGGAUACUAGCUGUUCGUCUAACAUUGGUUAGAUGAGUGGCUAAGCGAAAGUGAUAAGUAUCCCACCUGGGGAGUACGGUCGCAAGACUGAAACUCAAAGGAAUUGACGGGGGCCCGCACAAGCGGUGGAGCAUGUGGUUUAAUUCGACGCAACGCGCAGAACCUUACCAACCCUUGACAUACUUGUCGCGGAUUCCAGAGAUGGAUUCCUUCAGUUCGGCUGGACAAUGUACAGGUGCUGCAUGGCUGUCGUCAGCUCGUGUCGUGAGAUGUUCGGUUAAGUCCGGCAACGAGCGCAACCCACGUCCUUAGUUACCAGCAUUUAGUUGGGUACCCUAAGGAGACUGCCGGUGAUAAGCCGGAGGAAGGUGUGGACGACGUCAAGUCAUCAUGGCCCUUACGGGUUGGGCUACACACGUGCUACAAUGGCAUCUACAGUGAGUUAAUCUCCAAAAGAUGUCUCAGUUCGGAUUGGGGUCUGCAACUCG
rnacentral:rRNA from 1 species